rnacentral:rRNA from 1 species
CUGCCGGUGUCAAACCGGAGGAAGGUGGGGAUGACGUCAAGUCCUCAUGGCCUUUAUGGCCAGGGCUACACACGUACUACAAUGGCCGGUACAAAGGGCAGCGACAUUGCGAGAUGGAGCGAAUCCCGAAAAGCCGGUCUCAGUCCGGAUUGGAGUCUGCAACUCGACUCCAUGAAGUUGGAAUCGCUAGUAAUCGUGGAUCAGCAUGCCACGGUGAAUACGCUCCCGGGCCUU